UACGAAGGGGGCUAGCGUUGCUCGGAAUCACUGGGCGUAAAGGGUGCGUAGGCGGGUCUUUAAGUCAGGGGUGAAAUCCUGGAGCUCAACUCCAGAACUGCCUUUGAUACUGAGGAUCUUGAGUACGGGAGAGGUGAGUGGAACUGCGAGUGUAGAGGUGAAAAUUCGUAGAUAUUCGGAAGAACACCAGUGGCGAAGGCGACUUACUGGACACAUACUGACGCUGAGGUGCGAAAGCGUGGGGAGCGAACAGG
rnacentral:rRNA from 1 species